rnacentral:rRNA from 1 species
GAUGAACGCUGGCGGCGUGCUUAACACAUGCAAGUCGAACGGAAAGGCCCUUCGGGUUACUCGCGUGGCUAACGGGUGAGUAACAGGUUGGUGAUCGGCUCUCCACUUUGUGAUACGCCUGGAACACUGGGACUAAUACCGAAUUGGACCACGAGCUACAUGGCGGGAGGGGGCAAGAGUGAGCGGUGUGGGUUGGGCCCGCGGUCUAUCGGUUAGUGGGUCAGGAAAUGGCUUACAACGGAGACGCCGGGUAGCCGACCCGUGAGGAUGACCGGCGACAAGGGGCCUGCGGUACGGCCCAGAAUCCUACGGGCGGCAGCAGUGGGAAAUAUUGCGCAGCGGGCGCAAGCCUGUUGCAGCGACGCCGCGAGCGUGAUGCCGGCCUUCGGGUUGUAAACCUCUUUCAAAAGGGACGAAGCGCAAGUGACGGUACCUAUAGAAGAAGCACCGGCCAACUACGUG